rnacentral:rRNA from 1 species
GAGUUUGAUCAUGGCUCAGAUUGAACGCUGGCGGCAUGCCUAAUACAUGCAAGUCGAACGGUAACGCGGGGGCAACCCUGGCGACAAGUGGCGGACGGGUGCGUAAUACAUAGGAAUCUGCCCAGUAGUGGGGGACAACUUAGGGAAACUUAAGCUAAUACCGCAUACGCCCUACGGGGGAAAGCGGGGGAUCGUAAGACCUCGCGCUAUUGGAUGAGCCUAUGUCCGAUUAGCUAGUUGGUAGGGUAAUGGCCUACCAAGGUGACGAUCGGUAGCUGGUCUGAGAGGACGAUCAGCCACACUGGGACUGAGACACGGCCCAGACUCCUACGGGAGGCAGCAGUAGGGAAUAUUGGACAAUGGGCGAAAGCCUGAUCCAGCAAUGCCGCGUGUGUGAAGAAGGCCUGCGGGUUGUAAAGCACUUUCGGUUGGGAAGAAAAGCUGAUGACUAAUAAUUGUCAGUCUUGACGUUACCAAAAAAAGAAGCACCGGCUAACUCUGUGCCAGCAGCCGCGGUAAUACAGAGGGUGCAAGCGUUAAUCGGAAUUACUGGGCGUAAAGCGUGCGUAGGCGGCUAAAUCAGUCGGGUGUGAAAUCCCCAGGCUUAACCUGGGAACUGCAUUCGAUACUAUUUGGCU